GAUGAACGCUGGCGGCGUGCCUAAUACAUGCAAGUCGAGCGAACAGACGAGGAGCUUGCUCCUCUGACGUUAGCGGCGGACGGGUGAGUAACACGUGGAUAACCUACCUAUAAGACUGGGAUAACUUCGGGAAACCGGAGCUAAUACCGGAUAAUAUAUUGAACCGCAUGGUUCAAUAGUGAAAGACGGUUUUGCUGUCACUUAUAGAUGGAUCCGCGCCGCAUUAGCUAGUUGGUAAGGUAACGGCUUACCAAGGCAACGAUGCGUAGCCGACCUGAGAGGGUGAUCGGCCACCUUGGAACUGAGAAAAGGUCCAGACUCCUACGGGAGGCAGCAGUAGGGAAUCUUCCGCAAUGGGCGAAAGCCUGACGGAGCAACGCCGCGUGAGUGAUGAAGGUCUUCGGAUCGUAAAACUCUGUUAUUAGGGAAGAACAAAUGUGUAAGUAACUAUGCACGUCUUGACGGUACCUAAUCAGAAAGCCACGGCUAACUACGUG
rnacentral:rRNA from 1 species